AUCUACGGCCAUGCUACCCCGAACAAGGGCAAUCCCGUCUGAUCUCGGAAGCUAAGCAGGGUCAGGCCUGGUUAGUACUUGGAUGGGAGACCACCUUGGAAGACCAGGUGCUGUAGGUG
rnacentral:rRNA from 1 species